rnacentral:lncRNA from 1 species
GGGAUAUGGGGGGGCUUUUGGGGCCAGACAUUUUGGGUUGAAUCUGCCCCAUUUUGGGGGCUGAUUUUGGGUUGAAAGCGGGGGUUUUUGGGUCAGACGCUUUGGGUUGAAUGUGCUCCGUUUCGGGGCUGAUUUUGGGUUGAAUGUGCGCCAUUUGGGGGCUGAUUUGGGGUCGAAAAGGGGGCUUUUUGGGUUGGGCAUUUUGGGUUGAAAACGGGGGUUUUUGGGUCAGACGCUUUGGGUUGAAUCUACUGCAUGUGGGGGCUGAUUUUGGGUUGAAUGUGCUCCAUUUGGGGGCUGAUUUGGGGUUGAAAACGGCGCUUUUUGGGUCAGACUCUUUGGGUGGAAUCUGCUCGUUUUGGGGCUGAUUUUGGGUCAAAACUGGGGCUUUUUGGAUGGGGCAUUUUGGGUUGAAAACGGGGGUUUUUGGGUCAGACGCUUUGGGUUGAAUCUGCUGCGUGUGGGGGCUGAUUUUGGGUUGAAUGUGCUCCAUUUGGGGGCUGAUUUGGGGUUAAAAGUGGGGCUUUUUGGGUCAGACACUUUGGGUCGAAAAGGGGGCUUUUUGGGUGGGGCAUUUUGGGUUGAAUUUGCUUUAUUUUGGGGCUGAUUUUGGGUUGAAAACGGGGCUUUUUGGGUCAGACAUUGUGGGUUAAACGUGCUGUGUUUUGGGGCUGAUUUUGGGUUGAACGUGCCCCAUUUGGGGGCUGAUUUGGGGUUGAAAACGGCGCUUUUCGGGUCAGACGCUUCGGGGCUGAUUUUGGGUCGAAAAGGGGGCUUUUGGGGUGGGGCAUUUUGGGUUGAAAACGGGGGUUUUUGGGUCAGACACUUUGGGUUGAAUUUGCUCCAUUUGGGUGCUGAUUUUGGGUUGAAACCAGGGCUUUUUGGGUCAGACUCUUUGGGUGGAAUCUGCUCGUUUUGGGGCUGAUUUGGGGUCGAAACUGGGGCUUUUUGGGUGGGGCAUUUUGGGUUGAAAGCGUGGGUUUUUGGGUCAGACAUGUUGGGUUGAGAACGGGGCUUUUUGGGUUGCACAUUUUGGGUUGAAAACGAGGCUUUUUGGGUCAGACAUUUGAGGUUGAAUCUGCCCCAUUUUGGGGCUGAUUUUGGGUUGAAAGCGGGACUUUUUGGGUCAGGCAUUUUGGGUUGAAAGCGGGGGUUUUUGAGUCAGACAUUUUGGCUUCGAUCUGCCCCGUUUUGGGGCUGAUUUUGGGGUUGAAAACGGCGCUUUUCGGGUCAGACGCUUCGGGGCUGAUUUUGGGUCGAAACUGGGGCUUUUUGGGUGGGGCAUUUUGGGUUGAAAACGGGGGUUUUUGGGUCAGAC